AAUUAUAUAUAUCUCUAAUUUACAACAUACUUAUGCAAUAAGUACUUGUAACUUUUGCUUUAUUUGUUUUGUGCGCAUAGAUAAGCUGUACAUUUGCUUUAUUGAUUGUACACUAAAGCUUCUUUUGGAAGCUUUAUAUUUCUAGAAGAGAGACAUGAGAGAUAGAGAUGCAGAUUCGUUUGAGAUAGAAGGAUUUCAUCGGAUCCAUUCGUCGAUCUCAAGUGUUCAAACCCCUCAGCCGCCGGCGCCGGAAAUGACGACGGUGCAGGUGGUUCGUUCGGUGGAUUUGUCGAAAAGAUUGGUUCGAGCAUUCGCAAAUCGAAAAUUUUCUCGAACGCGGGUGCGAUGGGGGUGUUAAUAUACUCCGAUCAGAAGGAUUACGGUCGGGGGAGGUACGAAGUGGUUUCCGGAUGACACGUGGUUGCCGCCGAGUAGUGUUCAUGUCGGGUCGGUGUUUAACGGGGCAGGUGGAACGGGCAGGUGACGUCCCGUUGAUUCCGUCGUUGCCGAUCUCCGGUGCCGACGUUGAGGAGAUUCUGAGGUGGAUUGGUGGGGUGGUGGCGUUUCUGAUUACUUUUUUGGCCACCUUCUUUCAAGAAGAUCGGUGACCUAGGGUUCCGUCGGGUGCCCCUGAUAGCCAUACGAUCUUGCAUAAAAAAAUCAAGUUGAGGGGACUCUUAAGCGAGACAAAGAUCUCUUCCAUGUGAAGCAUCUGAACGUGUGGCUGUUCUUCUUAAGGUUCUUAUGCUUUGUUUUCAGGAAGAAAAAGAACAAAUGUGUGCUGGAAUUUUUAGAUUGUGAAGAUAGCAAGGUUCAUGGCUUGAAAAGAUCGAAUUUAGUGAGGAGAAUCGAAGAUGACCUCAUCGGUUGUUAUUUAUGUCGAGCUUUUGUGAUGGUGCCAAUGACGUUGAUCUUGCUUUUGCAGUUGGUUCUUGCUCCGUGUUUUGCCAUGAUUUUGCCUCAGGUAGAGGUGCACAAAAAACCCGAACUCUGAAAAAAUACGCGGACCCGAACAUGACCCUACCCUACGGGUAUGGACCAGGCUCACAUUCGCGAGUUGGAAGAAGAGGUGAAGAUUUCAAACAUUUUGGAUCCAGAUGCGGAAAAAAAAAACCUUUGGACAAAAGUUGCAAAACUGGCCAAACCUCUCCUCAGGGACGAAAAUGUCAUUUUACUCUUUCUUUUAUUCGUAUUUGACAAUGUUUAAAAAUUUGGUAUGUGGUGGGUUUGUGUAUCUAUUCGCUAAUAUAAAUAGUACAAACACAUACAUAUGCUCUUUACACGUGUCUUAUUAUAAUGAGUUGCUUAACUAAGUUCAAGUCCUUACUAACCUCAUUUUCUUGAAGGUAUCCGAGUCGUUAAAAGCAUCAAUAAAAUCAGCUUCAUUGGAAGAUGCUCGCCACAUGGCACGCAGUUGUGAUAGACUCCUCCAAGAAGUUGAGAGUCAGGCAGUGGAAGUAUUGAGGCGACAAACAAAGGUCUGAGAUCCUACUCCAGAGAGUGCGUUAAAACUUAAAAACAUGGAAGCAUGGUUAAGUGAGCUCCGAUCUUCGAUGAUCACACUUCAGAAAGAAGCAAUCUUCGCGAUGUUGUCGGUAGAGGAACAACAACAACAAAUAACCUUGCAAAAGCUUCUUAUGAUAGUGGAUACCGAAGGUCUUAUCGCCGCCAAGUUUUGUCUAUUCUAGAGAAGCUACAUGCUGAGCUGAUUUUGGCAAAGGUUAUUGUUCCAUCUGGCGACGUCACUCAACGUGUACACAACGAAAAUAAAGAUUAUGAUUAUUUUAUUAGAAAGGUCAUUCAUCCAUUUGAUGUUCAAGCAAACGGUGAGCUGAGCUUAAAUGUUGAUGAUUAUGUUAUAGUUUGCCAGGUGCCGCUCUGUUGCUACGUAUGGUAUUAAGUAAUGCAAAAUCAGAAGGUCGGGUGAUGGGUCAAAAGGGGUAAUUAAUAACAUCAGCCAAAAAGAGUCGGUCAAGUUCACACAUAAAAACUAAUGCGUUAAAUAUGAUCACAAAAACUACAUUGCUACAAUAUAACAGUUAUAAUCUUAUCGAUUUGUGUAUAAAGAACUUGGAAUCACAAAAGAAGUUCAAGAGUAAGUAAAUAUUGAUGUAGUAGUGGAGAUUAAAUGCUUAUAUGUCAAAUUUAGGGCCACCAUUUUUGUAUAUGUGAUUUGUAGUUAUGACUAUAUGAAAAAAGAACUUGCGUAAAAAAUACUGUGUAAUCGGCCGCAACGCGGCGGAUACUUUUCUAGUUUACUCUAAAUAAUAUUAUAAAUGAGAAGAAAAUUAAAUUAAAUAAUAAUUAUUCAUAAGAUAUUAAACUAAAUAAUAUUUAGUAGGAUGGUUAUCUAUAAUUAAUUAGAAAAUAAUAAAUUAAAAUAAUAAUUAUCUAUAAGAGAUGCUCUAAUAUCAUGACAAGUGUCGUAAAAGUGAUUUCUUUUAUUAUAUAGUAUAGAUAUAGAUUUUCUCAUGAUAAAACUACUCGGGAUUCACCAAUAACUUCUCUUUUAAUUUUUUUUUUAAAUCAUGCUCAAAAUAACAACUCCUAAAAACAAUCACUACAGUUAAAACGAAUAACUAGGCAGAAACAUGGAAAAACAUAAAGAAAAAGGGGAUAUUGAGGAUUCUCCAAUGAUAUAACUGUUACCAUAAAAGCCACCGACAUAAAAUUAUAAACAAAUCUAGGCUUCUCAAUGACUCAUCACUACACCCUCGACCUAAUCUCCAAAUCCAAUCCAGUAUAUAUAAAUUAAUCCCAUACACCCUUCCACUGCGCCGAUAUCUCUACUCCUCUUCUUUUAUUCAGAUCGGUGCUUCAAAUCGCAGAUCCAAAUCAGGAUCUGCUGAUAAAAGUGCAAAAAUGGCUCAGAUUAUAACAAGUUGGUACAAAGGCCUGAUGAAGAUUCAUGGUAGGCUAAAGAUCGGUGAUUCUUGGAUUAGUCAGAAUCAUGUAUGGGUUCUCUUGAAAUGCGUUAAAUUGGAUUCAGCAGAAGUGUUUCUGUCCCCUUAUCCUUGGAGGUUGGAAUUGGAACUCCAAGCUUUAAGUUCCACUAUAUGAAGCAUCAAUUAGGAGGGGGUUGGUGUGGUUUCCUAUAACUAGAAUGUUAUAUACAGCGCUUCACAUUGCAGCAACGUCUGAUUGGAAUGUUAUAUACAACACUUCACAUUGCAGCAACGUCUAAUUGGAGUGUUAUAUACAGCGCUUCACAUUGCAGCAACGUAAAGGAAGAUCCUUAUAUAAUGUUGCGAGGUUAGUGGAAACAGAAGGUUCGAGCAAACUAUUGGGAGGUUUUUAUAAAACUAGUUGAGUCUAGUCUACAAAAAAGACUUGGAGCUUCAAAAUAAGAUAAACAAGUUUUUUAUUUAGCAGUUACAACCGGAAAUACCUAAAUGGCUAAGAUUAUAGAAAAUGCAUCAAAAGUCUAUUGACCAUGAAUCCAUGGUAUAAACCAACAAUCCUUAUGAUGUUUUUUAGAAUAUACAUAGGUUGUUUGUAAACGUUAACUUGGUGUUCUUUUGAAAUGCGUUAUAUACUGUGACAUUUUCAUUUUGUAUAAGCAUAACAUGGGUGUACUUUUGUUUGAUUCAUAACCGGUGGCAAGGCUUUUGAACGAUUCUUUUUUAUUCAUGUGGGAUAUUCUCUUUGGAUCAUUAUUUUGGAAAGGUUAGUUGACGAGUCAUCAUCGACCAUUCUAUCCUUGCAACGAUUAUCAAGCUCUGUUUAAAUGGAAGUUGUUGUUCCAUGAACAUGUGCAAUGGCCUGGGAUGGUUGUAACUUGUUAAACAAAUCCAUUAAUAAGAGAGUUGUAUCAUGUAUGUGGUGGCUACAUCACGUAUCUGACAAUUACUGACUUA